GACGAACGCUGGCGGCGUGCCUAACACAUGCAAGUCACGGGGGCUUGGGGGCGACUCUGAGCAACCGGCGAACGGGUGCGUAACACGUGAGCAACCUGCCGAUCUGUGGGGGAUAGCCGGGCUAACGCCCGGGUAAUACCGCAUACGGUUCCUGCGAGGCGUCUUGCGGGAAAGAAACCUCUGGGGCAGAUCGAGGGGCUCGCGGCCUAUCAGCUGGUUGGGGGGUAAUGGCCCACCAAGGCGACGACGGGUAGCUGGUCUGAGAGGAUGGCCAGCCACAUUGGGACUGAGAGACGG
rnacentral:rRNA from 1 species